AGUUUCAUUCAAGUUAGGUAACGCCCAAGAGAGAUAUUUUUCAAAGUUUCGAGAAACGUUGUUUGUGAAAUGUGGCUUCGUCUAUUUGGUUACUAUUGAAAAAAUUUGUUUCGCUGCUAUUAAGUCAUUUUCGCAGUGGUAUUGAGUUGAAUGUAAUACUUUCAGAUUCAAUGGCUAUCUAUAGUUGUUCGAUAUUUGAAAAAACUUUUGCACCACAUUUACAUUAUGUAUGAUCUGUUCAUAUAAGUUGAGAUACUAUUCGAUCAGUGCCUUGAAGAAUUCAGCGGAAAAUAUCUCUAACCCCAGAUUCAAUGGCUAUCUACUUAUAUAGUUUUUCGACAUUCAAAAAAACUUUCGCACCACAUUAUAAUGCUGUUCGUAUAAGUUGCGGUAUUAUUCGAUCAAUGUCUCGAAGAAUUCAGCGGAAUAUAGUUACCUCCAACCCCUUAAGCGAAAAAUCUCAGUAACGCUAUUCAAUUCAAUGAAUUUGGUCACGUAAAGAUGUUCGUUGUAACAGAAUCCACAAUUUUGAAUUCAAGAAUGAAGAAAUCGUCUGCAAGAGUACGUAUCCGCAAGAUUGCAUCACCGGCAUAAAUUUUCGAAAAUUUGUAGGCGAUUUUUUGCGAACAAUAUCUUACUUACAUGCGCUGCAUUUCGAGUUUCUUCGCGAUCACUCUGAUCGAUUCUAUGGAUAGGCCUACUCAGUUGUGAACGGAUUACGAAUUUGGAAAUUUUGGCCUGUAAUGUACUGUUUCUGCUUUAUCAAAACUUUUUUGGUCUGGACCUAAUGUAUUUAUAUGUACCUACUGUAUUUACGGAGACGGAGAGUCGUGUUCGCAAUCACUGACACAUUAUGUUAGUGAAAGAAGAAAUAGCCGGGUUGGACUUUUCAACAACAAAAAAUUGAUUGUUCUCGUAUCUCCUAUAAGUGUCUUUCUAAAAUUAUCUUUUGUUUUGUGAAAUGCCAUUUUCAGAUAAUGGAGAAAAAAUUGAGCGAAAUCACUGAUUCCUGUUUGGGAGAUAGACACAACCAAGAACUUCUUCAACUUCGCCUUUUUUAAUUUUAUUUUUCUGUAUUUUGUUCAAGCGUUACAUCAAACUUUUUUUUAUGUUACAAAAGUGAGAAAAAGUUAGUAACAAUGAAGCUUUCAGAAAUAACACUCUGAUAUGUACAUAUAUUCAGGGACGAAACUACGCUUUCUUUCGUUGGUAAGGCGUAUCAACCGAAAAUUUGCCGGCCUAUAUAAGAAAAAAUACAAAGUUUGCUAAUUGAUAUAGGUACUUAAUAGGUAAUUCAUAUAGCUUAAGUAUUUGGACUUAUGAAAAAUUUUCGUUUUUCUUUUUCAAUUCUUGAAAGCUUCAAACGUGGAAUUUCUUUAUUUUGUAAAAGAGAAAGACAGCUUUUUUGAAAAUUUCUUAUGCACAAGAAAUGCGACAAGAAACUGGUUGAGCUUUGACAAAACUUUAACAUAAUGGAAAUAACAAGUAGGUAGGUCUAGGUUGAUAAUGAUAAUUCAUCUAGCCAUAAAUCCGACACAAACAAAAGGUUAAAACAAUAUAUACCCGAGUCAUCAAGGUAUUUAUUGCAAAAACGAUCAUUCAAUUUUCUUAUGUGAUAUGACGUAUACUAAGUACCUAAGGAAAGUUGAUAGAGAGAAAUCAUUCAUGUCAUAAUGUUGAUAACUCUUAGCUGGGAAAACACUUGUGAUUACUUGUUUUCAAAUUUCAAAAAUGGGAAUCACUGUAAUCUGAUUCCCAACGUACGACUUAUUUCAAGGUGCAAUUCAGUUGUGAAAUUUAGGUACUUUUUCAGCAUUCAACUUUCCUUUCCAUACAGACGUAGAUCAAUAAAUUGAUAUUCUCAACUUUUUGUUACUUAUAAGAGUUUGAGAACUGUAGGUACCAUAGAGCAAUAAGAUUGAAAGAGUACUUACUUACACUUCAUUUAUUCAGUACCAAGGUUUGCUAAUUGAGAAGAAAUUGAGGCACCAAUCAAAAAACUACUCGAAUUGGAAUACUCAACACAUUCUAAUCGAGUUUGAUAAAAUACUUAUUAUAAGAUUGUCAAUAAUAUUCAAAAGAGGGUGAAAAAUUAGUGUGAGUAACCAUUAUAUUUUAAAACUUGGUUAAUUGGUACAAAAGGAGGAUUAGGUGUUUGCAAAGAAGGAAGCAAUUUAAAAAAAUUGAACCUUCAUUUUUUAUACUCUUAUGUGCCAUGAAGGCAUGGUGUAUGGUACAACACCUUGUGAGCAAAAAUGAUAAACGGCUGCUAGAGCAUACAUAUGUACAUAUAAUACAUGAUAGAUAGUUGACACAAAAAAUAUAAAUAUACUGACUGAAAAUCA